rnacentral:rRNA from 1 species
AUUGAACGCUGGCGGCAGGCCUAACACAUGCAAGUCGAGCGGAUGAGUGGAGCUUGCUCCAUGAUUCAGCGGCGGACGGGUGAGUAAUGCCUAGGAAUCUGCCUGGUAGUGGGGGACAACGUUUCGAAAGGAACGCUAAUACCGCAUACGUCCUACGGGAGAAAGCAGGGGACCUUCGGGCCUUGCGCUAUCAGAUGAGCCCGGGGCGGAUUAGCUAGUUGGUGCGGUAAAGGCUCACCAAGGCGACGAUCCGUAACUGGUCUGAGAGGAUGAUCAGUCACACUGGAACUGAGACACGGUCCAGACUCCUACGGGAGGCAGCAGUGGGGAAUAUUGGACAAUGGGCGAAAGCCUGAUCCAGCCAUGCCGCGUGUGUGAAGAAGGUCUUCGGAUUGUAAAGCACUUUAAGUUGGGAGGAAGGGCAGUAAGUUAAUACCUUGCUGUUUUGACGUUACCGACAGAAUAAGCACCGGCUAACUUCGUGCCAGCCGCCGCAGUAAGAC